CGCAAGCAAAAAUGAAAAUAUAUAGUUUAUAAUAUUUGACCCGAAACUAAACGAUCUAAUAAUGAACAAGCAUUAGGCUGAACUCGUAAAAUGUUGCAAAAUUUUGAGAUGAUUUGUUAUUAGGGGUGAAAGGCUUAUCAAGUUUAGUUAUAGCUGGUUCUCCACGAAAUCUAUUUUAAGUAGAGCAAAAUAAUAUGUAUAUAAUAGGUAAUGAGAUAACGAAAGUUAAUUUAUCAAUUAUUAUGUAUAUAUAUAUUUAGUCAGACAUUUAGUGCCAAGAUUAAGUGUCAAGAGGGAAACAGCCCAGAGUGUUAAUUAAAAUAAUAAAAAUAGCUAUUUUAAGUAAAAUUAACCAAAAACAAAAGUAAAAGAAGAUAGGCUUAGAAUCAGCCAUUCUUUAAAGAAAUCGUAAAAGAUCAAAUACUUAGUUCUAUAUAAUUAUAUAAU
rnacentral:rRNA from 1 species